GACGUAGGGCGCGAGCGUUGUCCGGAUUUAUUGGGCGUAAAGAGCUCGUAGGCGGCUUGUCGCGUCGACUGUGAAAACCCGCGGCUCAACUGCGGGCCUGCAGCCGGAUACGGGCAGGCUAGAGUGAUGUAGGGGAGACUGGAAUUCCUGGUGUAGCGGUGAAAUGCGCAGAUAUCAGGAGGAACACCGAUGGCGAAGGCAGGUCUCUGGGCAUUAACUGACGCUGAGGAGCGAAAGCAUGGGGGAGCGAACAGG
rnacentral:rRNA from 1 species